CUGGUAGUGGGGGACAACGUUUCGAAAGGAACGCUAAUACCGCAUACGUCUUACGGGAGAAAGUGGGGGAUCUUCGGACCUCACGCUAUCAGAUGAGCCUAGGUCGGAUUAGCUAGUUGGUGAGGUAAUGGCUCACCCAAGGCGACGAUCCGUAACUGGUCUGAGAGGAUGAUCAGUCACACUGGAACUGAGACACGGUCCAGACUCCUACGGGAGGCAGCAGUGGGGAAUAUUGGACAAUGGGCGAAAGCCUGAUCCAGCCAUGCCGCGUGUGUGAAGAAGGUCUUCGGAUUGUAAAGCACUUUAAGUUGGGAGGAAGGGCAGUAAGUUAAUACCUUGCUGUUUUGACGUUACCGACAGAAUAAGCACCGGCUAACUCUGUGCCAGCAGCCGCGGUAAUACAGAGGGUGCAAGCGUUAAUCGGAAUUACUGGGCGUAAAGCGCGCGUAGGUGGUUCGUUAAGUUGGAUGUGAAAGCCCCGGGCUCAACCUGGGAACUGCAUCCAAAACUGGCGAGCUAGAGUACGGUAGAGGGUGGUGGAAUUUCCUGUGUAGCGGUGAAAUGCGUAGAUAUAGGAAGGAACACCAGUGGCGAAGGCGACCACCUGGACUGAUACUGAAACACUGAGGGUGCGAAAGCGUGGGGAGCAAACAGGAUUAGAUACCCUGGUAGUCCACGCCGUAAACGAUGUCGAACUAGCCGUUGG
rnacentral:rRNA from 1 species